GAAGAUUAAAAUGCUCUAUGGAAUACAAGGAUCACAGUCACCAGAAGAUGCUCAUUUUUCUUCUUCCAUGCUAACCACAACACUUAAGCAUGGGUGAGGCUGCACUACACUUCAUUACAAGCAUUGAAAGGACAGGAAAUUCUUGCUCAACCUUCUCUUUGUCCAUCUCUUUCUAAAUACCUGUGUAUAUAAGCCUUCAACCAUAAUCUCGAUGCAACCUAUGUAUAUCUCUCUCUAUA
rnacentral:lncRNA from 1 species